CCUACGGGUGGCAGCAGUGGGGAAUAUUGCACAAUGGGGGAAACCCUGAUGCAGCGACGCCGCGUGAGUGAAGAAGGAUUUCGGUAUGUAAAGCUCUAUCAGCAGGGAAGAAAAUGACAGUACUUGACCAAGAAGCCCCGGAGAACUACGUGCCAGCAGCCGCGGUAAUACGUAGGGGGCAAGCGUUAACCGGAUUUACUGGGGGUAAAGGGAACGUAGACGGUGUGGUAAGUAUGGAGUGAAAGCCCGGGGCUCAACCCCGGGACUGCUUUGGAUACUGGGUAACUGGAGUACAGGAGGGGCAGGCGGAAUUCCUGGUGUAGCGGUGAAAUGCGUAGAUAUCAGGAGGAACACCGGCGGCGAAGGCGGCCUGCUGGACUGAAACUGACGCUGAGGCUCGAAAGCGUGGGGAGCAAACAGGAUUAGAUACCCUAGUAGUC
rnacentral:rRNA from 1 species